CGUAUGGAACCUGCCCCUGUCAGGGGAAUAGCCCAGGGAAACUUGGAUUAAUGCCCCAUGGUACCGUUACAUCGCCUGAUGUUUCGGUUAAAGAUUUAUCGGACAGGGAUGGCCAUGCGUACCAUUAGUUAGUUGGCGGGGUAACGGCCCACCAAGGCAGCGAUGGUUAGGGGCCCUGAGAGGGGGAUCCCCCACACUGGUACUGAGACACGGACCAGACUCCUACGGGAGGCAGCAGUGAGGAAUAUUGGACAAUGGGCGGGAGCCUGAUCCAGCCAUGCCGCGUGCAGGAUGACUGCCCUAUGGGUUGUAAACUGCUUUUAUACGGGAAGAAACGCACCUACGUGUAGGUGUCUGACGGUACCGUAAGAAUAAGGACCGGCUAACUCCGUGCCAGCAGCCGCGGUAAUACGGAGGGUCCGAGCGUUAUCCGGAAUCAUUGGGUUUAAAGGGUCCGUAGGCGGGCCUGUAAGUCAGGGGUGAAAGUUUGUGGCUCAACCAUAAAAUUGCCUUUGAUACUGCAGGUCUUGAGUCAUGGUGGGGUUGCCGGAACAUGUGGUGUAGCGGUGAAAUGCAUAGAUAUCACAUAGAACACCGAUCGCGAAGGCAGGUGACCAACCAUGUACUGACGCUGAUGGACGAAAGCGUGGGUAGCGAACGGGAUUAGAUACCCCGGUAGUCCACGCCGUAAACGAUGGAUACUAGCUGUGGGGACUUCGGUCUCCGUGGCCAAGCGAAAGUGAUAAGUAUCCCACCUGGGGAGUACGUUCGCAAGAAUGAAACUCAAAGGAAUUGACGGGGGCCCGCACAAGCGGUGGAGCAUGUGGUUUAAUUCGAUGAUACGCGAGGAACCUUACCAGGGCUUAAAUGCAGGCUGCAUGGGGUAGAGAUACCCCUUUCUUCGGACCGCCUGCAAGGUGCUGCAUGGUUGUCGUCAGCUCGUGCCGUGAGGUGUCAGGUUAAGUCCUAUAACGAGCGCAACCCCUACCGUUAGUUGCCAGCAUGUCAAGAUGGGGACUCUAACGGGACUGCCGGUGCAAACCGUGAGGAAGGUGGGGACGACGUCAAAUCAUCACGGCCCUUACGUCCUGGGCUACACACGUGCUACAAUGGCCGGUACAGAGGGAAGCCACCCCGCAAGGGGGCGCGGAUCUACAAAACCGGUCACAGUUCGGAUCGGGGUCUGCAACUCGACCCCGUGAAGCUGGAAUCGCUAGUAAUCGGAUAUCAGCCAUGAUCCGGUGAAUACGUUCCCGGGCCUUGUA
rnacentral:rRNA from 1 species